rnacentral:sRNA from 1 species
GCCAGGUGUGGUGGCACACGUCUGUAAUCCCACCGGCUCAGGAGGCUGAGGCAGGAGGAUUGUGAGUUCAAGCCAGCCUCAGCAACUUAGCGAGUCUCUGAGCAACUCAGCGAGACCCUGUCUCCA